rnacentral:rRNA from 1 species
CCUACGGGUGGCAGCAGUGGGGAAUAUUGGACAAUGGGGGCAACCCUGAUCCAGCCAUGCCGCGUGUGUGAAGAAGGCCCUCGGGUUGUAAAGCACUUUCAGUGAGGAAGAACGCCUGGUGGUUAAUACCCAUCAGGAAAGACAUCACUCACAGAAGAAGCACUGGCUAACUCCGUGCCAGCAGCCGCGGUAAUACGGAGGGUGCGAGCGUUAAUCGGAAUUACUGGGCGUAAAGCGCGCGUAGGUGGCUUGAUAAGCCGGUUGUGAAAGCCCCGGGCUCAACCUGGGAACGGCAUCCGGAACUGUCAAGCUAGAGUGCAGGAGAGGAAGGUAGAAUUCCCGGUGUAGCGGUGAAAUGCGUAGAGAUCGGGAGGAAUACCAGUGGCGAAGGCGGCCUUCUGGACUGACACUGACACUGAGGUGCGAAAGCGUGGGUAGCAAACAGGAUUAGAUACCCCGGUAGUC